ACUCCAGCAGACAGCAGCUUCACUCCUGAAUCCUGCAGGUUGUUGUUACUCAGGUCCAGCUCUCUCAGACUAGAGGACUGGGAGCUGAGAACCGAGGACAGAGCUUCACAGCUUCUCUCUGAGAGGUUACAGCCACUCAGUCUGGAGAGACAACAGUAAGGAAACAAACCAGGCUCACCUGCCUGCCUGCUCUCACCUGACACUCCACGCCGUCUCCAGCAAGCCACAAUGGAUUCAUCCACCCAUCAGCCUGCCUCAGUCUCCCUCAGCUACUGCCACUCCGACUCCCUCGGCUCCCUCAACCCUCUCCAUCUCCAUUCCCCACUGCCCUUUACAAUAACUGCCCCUUUUAUCACGGUUUGUCUCUGAGUCUGCUUCUGGGUACAAAUCUGCAAAUCCUAACGGAAACACUUUCAACACAACUGCUUCACAGUGAUUCUGUGCUUCAGAAAGCUUCGUUUCCCCCAUAACUACUCAGAACCGCUGUGUUCCUCUUGACGUCGACCUUCAAAGCCUCCAACUCGCCUUCCUCUUCAUCAGUGGGAUGAUGCUGCCCUCUGCUGGACUGGAAGAAUUCAACAAUCUGAACGUUUUCAUAAAGGUGUAGGCCGCACAAAACCUUUAAGGGCACAUUCACUAAAUGUAAAGAAAGCCGGUUUGUCUCAGGCUGUGAUACACUAUAUGGCCAAAAGUAUGUGGACAGGGUAACAUGUGACUGUGACAUCAUGUCCACUCUUCUGGUUUCAGUCUUUCCAGCAGAUGUUGAACCUGUUGCAGGGAUUCGUUCCCAUUCAGACUCCAGAGCAUUAGUGAGGUCCAGCACUGAUGUUGGUGACUGGUCCAGGUCUGGAUCACAGUCAGCGUUCCAGUUCAUCCCAAAGGUGUUGGAUGGGGUUCAGGUCAGGGCUCUGUGCAGGCCAGCAAAGUUCUUCCACACCAAACAGGGAAAAACCCAUUUCUUUAUGUAUAUACGGCGUCCACAGACCUUUGGCCACAUACUGUAUCUUUCAGCUGAAUCAGUCAGUAGUCCUGACCUGAGAAAGACAACAAACACACUCACAGUAACAUUCUGCAUUUAUUGGAACAAGAGCCAGAAUUCAAAACAACACAUGACAGAAGAAACAAGUCAACGGCAUUUCCACCAUUUAAUGAUCAGAGUGGCCAUCUUUAAAGGACUGGAAGUGGAACAAGUUUACAGGGGAAAUGAGCGGCCAUCUUUAAGGGACUGGAAGUGGAACCAGUUUACAGGGGAAAUGACUGACCAAGCAGUCCUCUAUCACCCUGAGCUACUGGACUAGACAGGUGGACUUGGUUUCUUGGAACUUUUCACUCUUUCCUUUGGAUUCAGCUUUCAAAACACAGUGAAUCACCGGAGUCUCGAACCCACGACCUCAAAACUUGCAGACAGUCCUAACAUGCUGAGCUAUUGUACCAGAUUAGUGACCCUUGUUUCUUCACGCAUUUCACUCUUCCUUUAAACAGCAGUUUUCAAAACACACUUCGAAUCCAGAUUCUCCAGACUGCCAAGCAGUCCUGCAGCAGCCUGAGCUACCGGCCUGGAGACCUUCUGUUUAUUUCUCUUAGCUCAGGGGACAUUAAACUGAGGCUUCAGCAGUCAAAGACAAAUCAAGUGGUGACCUUCCAAACUUCUUCUCUGGACUGUGGUUCCUAGCCAGGGCAGGGAUAUGCUACAUGAAGAUGUCUGACUAAUCCUGUGAACAAGGAAACAGCUCCAGGUGGAAGGACUGACCGUCACAAUCCCCUCCUUCCCUUUUCUUCUUCUUCAUCCCUCUCUCCAUCACUACCCCUCCCUCCUCGAUAUUUGGACUAUUUGGUAUAAUAUGUGCAACAAGUACACAUUUACGUGUCAAAUAACUAAACAAAGUAUAUAAGUAGACAUGUAUUAGCCUCCAUCUUUUUCUUCUUCCUUUCUAUCCAUCUUAUUCUCUCAGUCGUCUUUCUUUUCUUUGUCUUCUCUGCAUCAUCUUUUUCUCCCGUCUCUUUGCUUCCUCUUUUCUUUCUCCACCUCUUCUUUUUCUUUCCUCUCCUUUCUCUCUCCUGAGGUUUCUCUUGUCGUCGUUUGCAUGAUCGAAGGUGAUCCGAUGUGAAACGAUCGUCUACAGAGACAUUAAACCGAAACAGGAAGCAGUGGAUCAUGCAGAACAUCACGGAGGAUCAGCAGAGAAUUUCUUGA